GAUGAACGCUGGCGGCGUGCCUAAUACAUGCAAGUCGAGCGAACAGAUGAGGAGCUUGCUCCUCUGACGUUAGCGGCGGACGGGUGAGUAACACGUGGAUAACCUACCUAUAAGACUGGGAUGACUUCGGGAAACCGGAGCUAAUACCGGAUAAUAUAUUGAACCGCAUGGUUCAAUAGUGAAAGACGGUUUUGCUGUCACUUAUAGAUGGAUCCGCGCCGCAUUAGCUAGUUGGUAAGGUAACGGCUUACCAAGGCAACGAUGCGUAGCCGACCUGAGAGGGUGAUCGGCCACACUGGAACUGAGACACGGUCCAGACUCCUACGGGAGGCAGCAGUAGGGAAUCUUCCGCAAUGGGCGAAAGCCUGACGGAGCAACGCCGCGUGAGUGAUGAAGGUCUUCGGAUCGUAAAACUCUGUUAUUAGGGAAGAACAAAUGUGUAAGUAACUAUGCACGUCUUGACGGUACCUAAUCAGAAAGCCACGGCUAACUACGU
rnacentral:rRNA from 1 species